rnacentral:lncRNA from 1 species
AUGAGCCCGUUGGCUCUUGGUUCAUCAUCGUUGUCGUUGCCAACAACCUCAACACCUCCCAUGUCUCCCUUAGCAUCAGUGUCUUCUCCUAAAAAUGGAAACUUGUGGCAGAACAAGAUUAACCUUACCCCUCCUGCUCUGCAGCUCCCUGGUAGUCGGUUAAAGGCUACCUUGAGUGCAAGAGAUUUGGAUUUAGAGAUGGAAUUGCUCGGAUUAGAAAAGAACGUGAGCCAAUUACAACAUCAACAACAGUUGAUUGACGAGAUUAGCCGGCUCUCAUCUCCUUACUGGAAUGCAGAUGUAAGCAGGACUGCAGAGU